GUACUUGCUUCGGCAGCACAUAUACUAAAAUUGGAAUGAUACAGAGAAGGUUGGCAUCGCCCCUGCGCAAGGAUGACAUGCAUUGUGACAAUGAAUCAGGGCCAUUC